rnacentral:rRNA from 1 species
GACGAACGCUGGCGGCGUGCCUAAUACAUGCAAGUCGAACGCAGUGGGGACGGGUGAGUAACACGUGGGUAACCUCCCAUCAGAGGGGAUAACACUUGGAAACAGGUGCUAAACCGAUACUGAUGGAUGGACCCGCGGUGCAUUAGCUAGUUGGUGAGGUAACGGCUCACCAAGGCCACGAUGCAUAGCCGGCCUAGAGGGGUGAUCAGCCACACUGGAACUGAGCCACGGCCCAGACUCCUACGGGAGACAGCAUUAGGGAAUCUACGGCAAUGGACGAAAGUCUAACCGAACAACGCCGCGUGAGUGAGGAAGGUUUUCGGAUCGUAAAACUCUGUUGUUAGAGAAGCGGUAUCUAACCAGAAAGCCACGGCUAACUACGUGCCAGCCGCCGCGGUAAUAC